GUUUCAAUCUUUAAUUUGAUCCGAGUGACAAUGAGGUUCUGUUUUUGCACUAGAAGGAACGUAUUCAGAUGCCUUAUCAAUAACAUCAAUGGAAAUUCCUUAAAUUUUCUCUUUCACCAACGAAAAGAGUGGGUACGUAUUCCUAAUUCAUACCAAGAAGAAUUAGGAUGUUUAGCUAAAUAUUGCAUUAUCUAGUGAUAAAGGCUAAGAAGCCGGUCCACUAAGUAUUCAGUGAGUGUAGUGUAAAUACUAGAUUGAAUUUAGAUAUUUAGUGGGUCUCACAUGGAACCUAGGUGAAUCUCAUUAUUUGAUGACCAGACUCAAUGUAAUGCAUAUAACACAUCAAUUUUUUUUUCCACCAUAUCACAAAUAACUAAUUGAUAUUUUUAAAAGGAUGAAGGUACAAUCUACUAUCUAACGGUUCUCGUUAAAUUAAGGCAAGAUGCUGUUUUUGCUUUUCCUUUUUCUAUUUUUUUGGUGCACUAGCUAGAGUUCAAAGGUUCUAGUUACAUUUUGUGGGCAUCUUCAAGGUGGAUUAGCUUCUGUAACGGGGCUACUUGUGAUCCUCGACUAGUCUUCGAGAGCACUCCAGAGAACUCGAAUAUCUAAAUACACGAUAAAGAGGCAAAAUUAAUAUCGGUGAAAAACUUUUCGACUGCGUAUGGUAAUCAAGAUAAAAUUCGAAAUAGGGUAAAAUAUGAUGGUCAAUGUUUAUUACCUUGGGCCGACUUUCUGCCACUUUGAUCACCCAUAUCUUGUUUCUUCAAUGCCUAAUCUAAUUGUUUCUUCCAUCCUCAGAAGUCUCAAAGUUUGCACUCUUCGCCUCUCUCUCUCUCUCUCUAACCUCGAUUCAAGUUUUCCGUUUUUUCUAAAACAAUCUCUUUGAUUAUGUAGCCAAUAUAAUUUUCAUUGAACCAUCAUACAGAUUUGCCUGUCAAAUAAGGACCAAAUUAUACAUGUGAAAAACACUUGGCUAGAAUUUUGACUAAACUUUUGCCAGUAGUCGGUGUUACGGGUGAGAUGGCAAACGGAUUUUUGGAAAUGGGAAGGGACAAAAGUUGAAAUUGACAAUCGCUAUUUAUAAUGUCUAUUUAAUGGCGCUCUGCCCUCCAUAAGAGUAGUAUUGUUUGCUUUUCACAAGCCAUCGAGUUACUCUGCAUCGACAUAUUAUAUUGUGAAAUUUUGUAAGCACUACCUCCACAAUUGAGGGUGUAUAUAUAGAGAGAUAAGGGUGAGAAAUAAGCUUGAAAUUGUGCAUGACAAAAUUUCUGGAAUAGAAAUUGAUUUCUAAUGACAAAUUGAUUUUUCAAUUUCUAUUUUAGAAAUUAAAAAGUUAAAAAUUUCGACUUCUUAUUUAUUCUUCAAUUUUAUUUUUGGAAUAUAAAUCUGUUCCAGAAAUAGAAAAAUCAAAUUGCGUUACCAAACGGAUUUCUAUUUCAAACCUGUUUUCAGGAAAUAAAGAAACACAGAAAUAGAGAAAUAGAAAUUUUAUCACGCGCGCCCUGAGUUCAUCAGGUACUCCCGAGACCAACGCGCAUUACUUGGGAACAAACUACUGUCAUCCAAGGAUUUUCUCUGUCGCUCUGCUUAAAUUUGAGUCCACCGAUUGCGCCAAAUAUUUUGACGGGGCUAAGUCGAUGGCAAGGAAAAAAAAAUAUAUUAUUCUGCACUGAAUUAUUAUAAUACACCUUAUAAAAUGAUUGAAUUAUUUGAUGUUCUAUUAUUCCGUGAUACCUCUUGGGCUAUAUUCGGUCCUUUUACCUUAUUCAUCAUGGGCCACAUCCCUCAUCAUUUGUACGAGGUAAUGAGUUUAUGACAAAGAGUAUCACAAUCACAAGCAGAACACGGAUUAAACCGGUUCGAGAACAUUUAUUAAUGGGAGCAUGAGAGUAUAUAACGACAGAAAACGAGCAUACAUGACAAAUAUACCCUUAAUAUUUGGACCAUCGGACUUGAUGAGGCGCUCGAUCGACGAUCUUAUUCCGACAUGCAAGUAGAUGUGUAGAACUCAUGCCCCCCAUGGCAAGCUGCUCCAUCAUGUCCUCACCCCUCCACACCGCACGAAGGCCCCGCAUGGAAGCUAUCCAUUUCCGCGAUCACGAUCACGACCUUGCCCUGGCGAGGGAAAGGGAUAUCGUCGUCCGAGGAAUAUGAAGCUGAAUCAUUGUCCGAGGAAUCUGAAGCUGAACUAGAGUUACCCAUUUUUCUUGAAGGAGAAGUUGCGCAACCCUUCCUUUCGAGACUAGAUUCAAACGUAUGAGUUUUUUUUUUGCUUUGGUCUGACAAAUAUAUGAGUUUGAAAGCUAGCAAACAUUGCGUAUAUAUAGUUUUUAAUUGCACUAAAAUCUUCAAUUUAAUUUACAUUUGCGUGAUAAUAAAGUUCUAUUUU
rnacentral:lncRNA from 1 species